UGGGGAAUAUUGCACAAUGGGCGCAAGCCUGAUGCAGCCAUGCCGCGUGUAUGAAGAAGGCCUUCGGGUUGUAAAGUACUUUCAGCGAGGAGGAAGGCGUUGUGGUUAAUAACCGCAGCGAUUGACGUUACUCGCAGAAGAAGCACCGGCUAACUCCGUGCCAGCAGCCGCGGUAAUACGGAGGGUGCAAGCGUUAAUCGGAAUUACUGGGUGUAAAGCGCACGCAGGCGGUCUGUCAAGUCGGAUGUGAAAUCCCCGGGCUCAACCUGGGAACUGCAUCCGAAACUGGCAGGCUAGAGUCUUGUAGAGGGGGGUAGAAUUCCAGGUGUAGCGGUGAAAUGCGUAGAGAUCUGGAGGAAUACCGGUGGCGAAGGCAGCCCCCUGGACAAAGACUGACGCUCAGGUGCGAAAGCGUGGGGAGCAAACA
rnacentral:rRNA from 1 species